CUGCUGGAGGCAUUUCCUCAGCUGGCGUUCCCUCCCAGAUCACCCUAGCGAGGAAACCUGCAGCAAUGCUCCACUGACAGCGCGGAUGGUGUAAGAGAGCCCCAGAGAGCCGGGACCCCGCUACCAACAGCUCAGACAGGCCGGGUCCACCAGGCAAGACUGACGUCUCCCGCUCACGGCUGCUCUGUUCCACAGGUGCUCAGCUUGCUUUCUCCAGACUCCAGAUUGUUCACAGCUGUGUCUUUCAACUCCACCCCGAGAAUCCAAACCACACAUCUGCUACCCCGUGACAGCCUGCUGACCCAAGACCAGCCAUACACCAGAGCUGAAUGGAAACUGUGAGGAACGGUGCUUCGUCUCCAGGCACUGUGGGACCCCAAAGAGACAUCCAAUGCUGACAUUACAAGGUUUCUCCAAAAUGUCAGUGCAAAUGCUGCUGGCCCAGGUGCUGUUGUCUGGGCAAAAGGGGUGGUCAGAGCUGUGUAGACCCCACCCAGUCCUCCCUGAAUGUUAGGGUGGCCUCCCCAACUCAGGGCCCUCUGUCCCCUGAAGACGCAGUGGGGACUGCAGCCCUACCUGCUGCUGCCCUCUUCUGGGUCUCCCCAGGACUGCCUGCUCCACAGAAGCCAAGUCAGGCCCUGGAGGUCAUGACAGCCAGAAGGGAUUCACCAGUGCUACCACUUGAAGCCACUAAAACCGGUACCAGGCA